rnacentral:lncRNA from 1 species
GAAUUGGUUGUAAUAUAUAGCUAGAAUUAUUUAUUUGAGGCAAAACAUUUGAGUGGGUGGGCGUGAGACCUCUUUAUUGGAGGAGUUAGUUUAUCCAAGACAUGGUUUGUUACAGUUGUCAGGACAUGACCUGCAACUCUUGGUUGGAUAUAGGAGUUUGAGUGGUUGCAGCUAAGUUUUUCAAGUUGCUGGUUAUUUUUGCAGAUGAUAUCAUGGGUGUGGAUAAUAUGGGUGGAAAAAAGAUUAUUGGGAAGUUUUGUGCUUCAAAUCUU